UGAACGCUAGCUACAGGCUUAACACAUGCAAGGUCGAGGGGCAGCAUGGUCUUAGCUUGCUAAGGCCGAUGGCGACCGGCGCACGGGUGAGUAACACGUAUCCAACCUGCCGUCUACUCUUGGACAGCCUUCUGAAAAGGAAGAUUAAUACAAGAUGGCAUCAUGAGUUCACAUGUUCACAUGAUUAAAGGUAUUCCGGUAAAACGAUGGGGAUGCGUUCCAUUAGGUAGUAGGCGGGGUAACGGCCCACCUAGCCGACGAUGGAUAGGGGUUCUGAGAGGAAGGUCCCCCACAUUGGAACUGAGACACGGUCCAAACUCCUACGGGAGGCAGCAGUGAGGAAUAUUGGUCAAUGGACGAGAGUCUGAACCAGCCAAGUAGCGUGCAGGAUGACGGCCCUAUGGGUUGUAAACUGCUUUUAUAAGGGAAUAAAGUGAGUCUCGUGAGACUUUUUGCAUGUACCUUAUGAAUAAGGACCGGCUAAUUCCGUG
rnacentral:rRNA from 1 species